AAUGACAUCACUUUCCCCACGAGCCAAAUAUUUCCCGCUAUAUUUGUGACAUUUUAACACAAACGUUUACAGUGAUGUGGUUCUUACAUUUGCAAAACAUUGAGAGUAGGGAUGGUUUUCAUGUUGAUUUUUCUAAAUAAAAACAAAAUAUGUGCGUUAAGAUCAUGAAAAUGAUUUUACAUAGGUGGCCGAUUUUUUACGUACAGGCCGGAAUUACGUACAUGACCAGUAUGUAUUUAAUAAUUGUAGAAAAAUCACCUUAAUUGUUUCUAUAUUGUUCUCAUUUGAUUACAAUGUUGUUCGAUUGGUCAUUGUCAGCUCGGAUACUACUUACCUGUACCCCGGGUACUCUUUAAGUAUACUUACAUGUAGAGCUAACCCUGUUACAGUUAAUAUACUUUAAUAUAGCCGGAAAUUUAAUGCUAAAUGGGUUGUUGUACGCUUAAUUUUUUUAAAUAUGUUCACAUUAAUGUCAUUUUUUUUCUCAAAUAGUCUUUAUAUCAUCGAAAUUUAUACUCAAAAAGCAUAUUGAUGCAGUUUUUUCAAAAGGUAAGUUUAAUUUAGAUAAACAAUAUGGCUUUACAUUUAUCUGUAGUGCACUGUACCACAUCGAAUUAUGGGCAAUAAUACAACUCGGGUACAGUCUAAUAAGGACCGGGUACGUUUAAGUAUAUUAACCUUACCCGAGGUACAUGCAAGUAUGCUUAAUGAUACCAGGGGUACAUGUAAGUAGUACCCAAGCUGUGAAUAACCAAUCGAGCGUGAGUAAAGUAGAUUGUACCUUAUGUCUUUAAUAAUUGCAGAACAAUUACCUUAAUUAUUUCUAUAUUGUUUCCAUUUGAUUACAAUUUAUUUAUUUGUCAAAUUCAAUUCUGUAGUGCUAUAAAUAUGCACCCCCCAUCCAAAAAAUUUAUUUCGUGCAUAUUGAUGGGGCUUUUUUAUUUAUUUACUCCUUUUCUGCAUUCCUCCCUUUUGUGUUGGUAAUGUGAACAUGAAAUGAUGAGCACUUUCAUGUUAAUGAAUAACUUUUAUUUUUUUUAUAGAUUUUGGCAUAUUGCCAAGGGAGAUGUUUACUGAGGAUUCCAUGCCAUUAAUGUGCAGGCUGUUGCUGACGCCAGCAUGAGCAAUAUCUGAGCACCAAUGAUGAGGGUCAUCUGCUGGGAGAUAGUGGGUAUCCGUUAAGGACUAACCUGAUGACCCCUUAACCUCAUCCCUCCCAUGCUGCGGAACAGGCCUACAAUGACCAUCUAUGUAGAGGAUAUCUGCAUGCCACUGGUGGAUGUUGGCCUUUCAAGUCCAAUAAGUGCUGUGAAAUAUCAACAUGCCCCUGCAUAACCUGUGUCUGGAUUCAAACGUUCCACUGAUAGAGGAAUUGGUUGGAAAUGUGAUGGAACCGGAAGUUAUGAACAACACACCAGUACAUCAAGCAGCAUGUGAUAAGAGGCAGCAGCUGAUCAAACUGUUUCAUAAAAUGUGUUAAAAAUUUAUAGUUAUAAAUGUUAUAAAGUGAUAGAUGGCUCGAGUCUUCUCUGAAUAGGCAGAGCUACACUACUCAGCCAAAUGGCGUAAAGUUGUGUCAUAGCUGAUUUGGAAGGAUUGGUAUUCCUGGUCGUCUAGACACAAUAGUUACAACAGCUGAUGUUUGCAUGUUUUAUAAUUGUGUAUGCAUAAUUUGUCUAAUAUUUACUUCAAGGUUAUAGGUUUGUGAAAGAAAAAAAUGUCAAUGUUCUGAGGACCAAUAAAAAAGUUAUGUGUUAGGUAUUACCAAGUGCUUGAUUUAAUAUUUAUUUUAAUGGGAACUUUUCCUAAAUUUUGGCAGAUAUUCAAGUUUUUCAUUAAACGCUUUUAUAUUGAUACAUGUAAACACUGGAUCUAAAAAGCUCCAGUAAAAAAAGAAUACAAUUAAAGAAAGAUAAAAAGUAACUCCUACAGGGCUCAAACCACUGACCCCUGAAGUAAAAGCCUCACACUAAGACCACUUGUCCGUCCAUGUUGAUACAAUGAGUGAUGUAUUUUACACUUUAUAUAAGCAAUCCUCAUCGUGUCACAAAAUAUUACGACAACAACAGAACUCUACAAAUUAUUCAAUCGUCGAGUGUUGCAGCAGAUAGUUGCAACGCUUUAAAAUUUUCAAGUUUUUAAAUCGUCAAAAGUUGCAUAUAAUGGAUAUUUUAGAGCAUGGUAAAUGUUCAGUAUUACUGUUUCCUCACAAAUAUCAUAACUACAACAAAUGUUUGCGAAUCUUAAACUUAUUUUUUUUAAUUUAGUCAAUUUACCAAAACUGGAAAAGGUCCCUUGAAUAUUGAACAGUUAUCUGAGCUCCAGAAAAGAUCAUAUACUCAAGGUACUUUUCCCCAUUAACAAUUAUUCAAGUGAUAUUUUACCCACUGACUUUCGCUCUAAAAGGUGUUCUCUGUAAUGAACAUUCUCAAAGCCACAUUAAAACAAGGGCUGUUAGUAAAACAUGCAUGCCCCCCAUAUGGGCUGUCAGUUGUAGUGGCAGUCAUUGUGUGAAUACGUUUUUUUGUCACUGUGAACUUGACCUUUGACUUAGUGACCUGAAAAUCAAUAGGAGUCAUCUGCCAGACAUGAUCAAUGUACCUACGAAGUUUCAUAAUCCUAGCUGUUGGCAUUCUUGAGUUACCAUCCGGAAACUAUUUUACUAUUUUGAGUCACCGUGACCUUGACAUUUGACCUAGUGACCUGAAAAUCAAUAGGGGUCAUCUGCAAGUCAUGAUCAAUGUACCUAUGAAGUUUCAUGAUCCUAGGCGUAAGCAUUCUUAAUUCAUCAUCUGGAAAUCAUUUUACUGUUUCAACUCACUGUGACCUUGACCUUUGACUUAGUGACCUGACAAUCAAUAGGGGUCAUCUGCCAGUCAUGAUUAAUCUACCUAUGAAGUUUCAUGAUCCUAUGUCCUAAGAUUUCUUGAGUUAUCUAUCAUCCGGAAACCAUCUGGUGGACAGACCGACCAAGCAAAACAAUAUACCCCCUCUUCUUUGAAGGGGGGCAUAAAAAGUGGGCUUGUAAAUGUAACGGUACUUUAUAAUAAUAAGUGUGCUGUCUAUAAAUAUGGAUAUUAUUGUCAUAAAAAAUAGAAGUUUUCCAAUAUAUUAGAUUGUUUCCGAAUGUAUUUACUAAACUUUACCCCUUUAUGAGUCUCUGUUCAAUUAUUUGGUCAUCUACCGUUAAAAUGUUGUUUACCUGUGCAUUUUUUUUGUAUUUUUAUUGAAAUGUUUAUGAUAAUAAUGUUUAUGGUAUUUGAUAACAGUUGCUAUUACACUAG